UGUUACAAUGAAGAAUAUAAUCUGACUUUGGGCUUCCAGUUCUGGCGAAGUAAAUUAUAGUGGGUUAACAUGUGUGCUAGUCCUAUUUUUAUUGCAAUGAAAAAAAUACCUGAGAAAUUCUACUUGAAGUAGAAAAUAUUUCUUUUGGCUCAUGGUUUCAAUCCAUGGUCAGCUGACUUCUUGCUAUGGGCUCGUGAUGAAGCAAAACAUCAUGGCAAGGAGGGUAUGAUAGAGCAAAGCUGCUCACCUCCUGACGGCCAGGAAACAGAGAAAGAAAAAGACCAAAGGGACAAGAUAUAGUCCCCGGAAGCAUGCCCCCAAAGGCCUAUUCCCUUCAACUAUUUCAACUAGGUCCCAACUUUUAUGUAUCUACAACCUCACAAUAAGUCUACUCAAUAAUGAACCCCUCAGUUGACUAGUUGGUGAGAUCAGAGACCUCAUGAUCCAACCAUGUCCCCAAAUCCCCCCUCUGAAUAUUGGGGACAAAAAUCUUCAACACAUGAAUCUUUGGGGAGAUGUUACAUAUCUAAGCCAUAACAACAUUCCCACAGGAACAAUUGUAACUCAGGACAAAAUCUAAAAAAUUCUGGAAAAUGAAUAAGAUGAGCAAAGACCAGAGGAAAUAUGAACUGAAAGAAGGAAAUCACACUGAGGGAGGGGGACAUCUUUGGCUUUUCCCCUUGGGAAACUCCACAGUGUGCGCAGGGUGUGGAGGAUCGAGCUCAACAAAAUGCAGCAGUCUUACUGAGUUAAGGCAUCAGAGAUUAAGUUUGAAGCUCCUGAAUUAAUUAAAGAUUGGAGGAAAUAUCAGAAAGGAAAGGGAAACAGAGGAAAAGCCUUGAUAUGUACUUAUAAACUCCCCUCAAAUACUGACUGACCUCUGGACUGGACACCCUUGGGGAAGUCUCCAAGCAGCUUAUGGAAAACAACAGUUGAAAGACUGAAUGACGGAGGUGACAAAAAUGUUAUGAGUUCAAGUUCCCAAAGUUAAGUGGGCCUGAUUUAAUAGUUUAGCCUUUUCAUUAAAAUUCUACAAAGACAACUUUCCAAGACUAAAGGCACAGUCAAAAAAGUUUAUCAGAGUAAAGUCUGAAGCCACCACAAAAGCCAACCCUGCAGUAAUUCAAUUUCUUUUUAGAACAAAAAUUCAGCACUCUUCAUAGGAAGACAACAGAAUCCAGAGUCUCCUCAAAGCAUCAUUCAUGAGGUAAACUACAUAAUCAAAAAUUGCUGGACUCACAUCAGCUCGCAGGGUGGGAAGACAAUAAGAGUGGUUACAUCUGAAUCCUGGAAUGAGCCAAUGCUGAAAAAAUCCUGUGGCAAUGACAACUGAGAAAUGCAAAGAAAAAUCAGCCUAUCUGUUUCUCUCUGGUGGUGUGGCAGCAGAAUUUAGACCAGCUCAGAUCCUCUUUUUGGAGGAAGUCAUGAAAAAGAAGAGGUCACUGGGUAGAGCGUGAUUACAAGUUGGUGCAAGGGGAUGGGAUGACAACGUUAGGGGCAGUCACUGCCCUGGAUUUUCUGGCCCUUCUCUGCAGGCUUCUAGCUAUGGAACUUCAAGUGUGCUGCAUAAUCUUCUUGUCUUUUGAAAUCUUCAUGUGAAAUCCUCAUGUGGGGGUAAAAACGGAUAGUAGAGGCACAGUACAAGACUCAGUGCCUUCCAGGAACAGGUGCUCAAUAAAAGUGCACUGUUGUCAUUUUUGCCUAGUUUUGAUAUCAGUCCAAUGGCUUCCCUGCCCAGGGUCAUUUUCUCAAACAUUUUAGGUCCAUCACCAGCCAACCUAGGCUUAACCUUGGCUCCCGAUAUUACUGAGAAUUUAUAUAAAAAGCCUCAGGAAAAAAGCUGCAAAAUUGUGGACAUUGGGUGUCACCUCUUCAGGACCAAAAAUUGGGAUGCAAACUCUAGGCAAAGCCAGGAAGCAUGGAAGCCAGUCGCCUUCCUGGAAAAGUCUGGAUUGGAGGCACCAGUCCCAAAGGAGUGGAACAUAGCUGCUCUGAAAGGGCUUUUCCUCUUCUAGUCUACUGAGUUUGAAAAAAAUGGGAAUAAAAGAACAUUUCUCA